UUUUUCGGAGAGUUUGAUCCUGGCUCAGGACGAACGCUGGCGGCGUGCCUAAUACAUGCAAGUCGAGCGGACAGAAGGGAGCUUGCUCCCGGAUGUUAGCGGCGGACGGGUGAGUAACACGUGGGUAACCUGCCUGUAAGACUGGGAUAACUCCGGGAAACCGGAGCUAAUACCGGAUAGUUCCUUGAACCGCAUGGUUCAAGGAUGAAAGACGGUUUCGGCUGUCACUUACAGAUGGACCCGCGGCGCAUUAGCUAGUUGGUGGGGUAAUGGCUCACCAAGGCGACGAUGCGUAGCCGACCUGAGAGGGUGAUCGGCCACACUGGGACUGAGACACGGCCCAGACUCCUACGGGAGGCAGCAGUAGGGAAUCUUCCGCAAUGGACGAAAGUCUGACGGAGCAACGCCGCGUGAGUGAUGAAGGUUUUCGGAUCGUAAAGCUCUGUUGUUAGGGAAGAACAAGUGCGAGAGUAACUGCUCGCACCUUGACGGUACCUAACCAGAAAGCCACGGCUAACUACGUGCCAGCAGCCGCGGUAAUACGUAGGUGGCAAGCGUUGUCCGGAAUUAUUGGGCGUAAAGGGCUCGCAGGCGGUUUCUUAAGUCU
rnacentral:rRNA from 1 species